GCCUCCUUAGUGCAGUAGGUAGCGCAUCAGUCUCAAAAUCUGAAUGGUCCUGAGUUCAAGCCUCAGAGGGGGCA
rfam:Homo sapiens chromosome 11, GRCh38 reference primary assembly.